CUACGGGCGGGCACCAGUGAGGAAUAUUGCACAAUGGGGGAAACCCUGAUGCAGCAACGCCGCGUGGAGGAUGACGCAUUUCGGUGUGUAAACUCCUUUUAUGAGUCAAGAAAAUGACGGUAGCUCAUGAAUAAGCACCGGCUAACUCCGUGCCAGCAGCCGCGGUAAUACGGAGGGUGCAAGCGUUACUCGGAAUCACUGGGCGUAAAGGACGCGUAGGCGGGAUGUCAAGUCAGGUGUGAAAUCCUAUGGCUCAACCAUAGAGCUGCACUUGAAACUGGCAACCUAGAGUAUGGGAGGGGGAGAUGGAAUUAGUGGUGUAGGGGUAAAAUCCGUAGAUAUCACUAGGAAUACCGAAAGCGAAGGCGAUCUCCUGGAACAUUACUGACGCUAAGGCGUGAAAGCGUGGGGAGCAAACAGGAUUAGAUACCCUAGUAGUC
rnacentral:rRNA from 1 species